rnacentral:rRNA from 1 species
GACGAGUGGCGCACGGGUGCGUAACGCGUAUAGAACCUACCCUGUACAGGGGGAUAGCCCAGAGAAAUUUGGAUUAAUACCCCGUGGUAACUAUAAAUGGCAUCAUUUAUAGUUUAAAGUUUUCGGACUGUACAGGAUGGCUAUGCGUCCUAUUAGUUAGAUGGUGAGGUAACGGCUCACCAUGGCAUCGAUAGGUAGGGGCCCUGAGAGGGGGAUCCCCCACACUGGUACUGAGACACGGACCAGACUCCUACGGGAGGCAGCAGUGAGGAAUAUUGGACAAUGGGCGUAAGCCUGAUCCAGCCAUGCCGCGUGCAGGAAGACGGCCCUAUGGGUUGUAAACUGCUUUUAUACGGGAAGAAUAAGGGACACGUGUGUCCUGGUGACGGUACCGUAAGAAUAAGGACCGGCUAACUCCGUGCCAGCAGCCGCGGUAAUACGGAGGGUCCGAGCGUUAUCCGGAAUUAUUGGGUUUAAAGGGUCCGCAGGCGGGCAAUUAAGUCAGGGGUGAAAUGGUGCGGCUCAACCGUAGCACUGCCCUUGAUACUGGUUGUCUUGAGUCAUAGUGAAGUGGCCGGAAUAUGUAGUGUAGCGGUGAAAUGCAUAGAUAUUACAUAGAACACCGAUUGCGAAGGCAGGUCACUAACUAUCGACUGACGCUGAUGGACGAAAGCGUGGGGAGCGAACGGGAUUAGAUACCCCGGUAGUCCACGCCGUAAACGAUGGAUACUAGCUGUCCGCUGCCUUGAGCAGUGGGCGGCCCAGCGAAAGUGAUAAGUAUCCCCACCUGGGGAGUACGUUCGCAAGAAUGAAACUCAAAGGAAUUGACGGGGGCCCGCACAAGCGGUGGGAGCAUGUGGUUUAAUUCGAUGAUACGCGAGGAACCUUACCAGGGCUUAAAUGCAUAAUGACAGGUCUAGAGAUAGACUUUUCUUCGGACAUUUUGCAAGGUGCUGCAUGGUUGUCGUCAGCUCGUGCCGUGAGGUGUCAGGUUAAGUCCUAUAACGAGCGCAACCCCUGCCGUCAGUUGCCAGCAAGUAAAGUUGGG